UAGGGAAUAUUGGUAAUGGGCGAAAGCCUGAACCAGCAACGCCGCGUGUGCGAAGAAGGCCUUCGGGUUGUAAAGCACUUUUUAAGGGGAUGAGGAAGGACAGUACCCUUAGAAUAAGCCUCGGCUAACUACGUGCCAGCAGCCGCGGUAACACGUAGGAGGCAAGCGUUAUUCGGAUUUACUGGGCGUAAAGCGCGUGCAGGCGGUUUGGUAAGUUGGAUGUGAAAGCUCCCGGCCUAACUGGGAGAGGUCGUUCAAUACUACCAGACUAGAGGAUGGGAGAGGGAGGUGGAAUUCCGGGUGUAGUGGUGAAAUGCGUAGAUAUCCGGAGGAACACCAGUGGCGAAAGCGGCCUCCUGGCCCAUUUCUGACGCUCAGACGCGAAAGCUAGGGUAGCAAACGG
rnacentral:rRNA from 1 species